rnacentral:rRNA from 1 species
UAGUCCACGCCGUAAACGAUCAUCACUCGCUGUUGGCGAUACACAGUCAGCGGCCAAGCGAAAGCAUUAAGUGAUGCACCUGGGAAGUACGGUCGCAAGAUUGAAACUCAAAGGAAUUGACGGGGGCCCGCACAAGCGGUGGAGCAUGUGGUUUAAUUCGAUGAUACGCGAGGAACCUUACCAGGGCUUAAAUGCAGAAUGACAGUUUGGGAAACCAGAUUUUCUUCGGACAUUUUGCAAGGUGCUGCAUGGUUGUCGUCAGCUCGUGCCGUGAGGUGUCAGGUUAAGUCCUAUAACGAGCGCAACCCCUAUCUUUAGUUGCCAGCGGUUCGGCCGGGGACUCUAAAGAAACUGCCAGCGCAAGCUGUGAGGAAGGUGGGGAUGACGUCAAAUCAUCACGGCCCUUACGUCCUGGGCUACACACGUGCUACAAUGGACGAGACAAUGAGAUGCAAAUCUGCGAAGGCUAGCUAAUCUAUAAACUCGUUCUAAGUUC